GUUCAAGCCCAUUAAUGCUUAGCCUAACAAUCAUGGAAGCGUUGAGCUCAUCUUCCCUUUCCCGACUCUUAAGCUUCAUCUUCACCGGUUGCGAUAGUAACUCUGUUACUGCUUCCUCCUCUUCAUCAAUCAAUGAUGCUAUUAAAUCUUAUCUUUAUUGUUUCGUUAUACCUUCCUCUCCUUCUCCUCAUAUAUAAAAUCUAUCAUAUCUUCGUAGAGAAUUACUUCGAUCCAAAUUCAGAAACCUUCUUUCCAGAAUCUCAAGCUAUGGCGAUUGUUAGCUCUUUACCUUUGUGAGUUUACAACUGCUGCAGUAUUUUUUGAGAUCUGAACGGAAGAUUUUCGUGCCACAUUGAAGGAGCACCCCCAAGAACGAAUAUGUUUUUCUUGUACUAGCGCAAGGUCGUACUCUCGGAUCUCUGGCCUAUCUGCCUAACUCAAAGCUUGGAUCUGUAUUGCAGUUGGUGUAUAUGAUGAUGGGAAUUUUAUUCUUAAGCUUAAGGUUGGAAUGAAAAAUGUCUGCAUAGACCUUGGUUUUGAGGACCAACCAGACACUGUCACAUUCUUUGAAGGUUAUCAAGAUAUCAGUAGGAGAGGCAUCACACAGGACGGCUAUGAAUCUGAAGUUUGGCACUAUAAUAUAGGAGUGUGACAUCGCCACCAUGAUCAAGGCCACUGUUGAGUCGCUUGAAGGACAACUAUGCAGCAAUGAAGUCAUGGUUCGCCAUGAACUUGGACAACGUCAGGAGUCACUCUUGAGAUUCAGAUAUUUGAGGAUUUCAAAUGGUUUAAUGCUUCUUAUGUUCCUGUCUUCGAGGGGCUACAAGAAUCUGAUAAGCAUAUCUAUUAUUUCUCUUCACACAACGAUAAUGGACGAAAAAGCAAAUUCAAAAACCCCAAAUAUCUCAUGAAGUGUAAUAUUCUUCAGUCCCAGCUUAGAGAUCUCUGACAUAUUUUGAUAUUUGAGCUUCUAGGCAUUUCACAGACGGCUAUGAGUGAUGUUCUUCGUGAGUAUGUGGAAUCACACGUGUGGAAAAAGAGGCCAGAUUAAAAGUUGAUACAGCUGCGAACCAACAAGAAAAACAAACAAAGAGGAAGAAGUUGGUUUGGAAGUUUAUGUUACACCAAGUGGCACGAGUCUUAGGUGCAACGUGGGAAAUAUGACACAUAGAGAAAUGCUUCGGAUUCAGAGAAGCGUCUCCGCAUGUUACAGUCAGACUCAUUUCAUUCUGCUAAAGAACACUGAAGCAAAAAAGGCCAGAUGGUAGAUGUGGAGGAUGUAAAACACUAGCUGAAUAAAGCAGGUUAGCCAGAAAAUGAAAUGGCAGCAUUGAAGAGGCAGCUCAUGUCCCCAAUGUCUAUCACAGUUACAUCAAAAGAUGGUGCAAGGAAACUGGGGUUUGUGAGCCGGUUACAGGGAAUGUGCAAGGUACUGAGCUUCCUGAAGAGUGUGAUGAUGAUCUGUUGGAGAAGACAAAGUAGAGAUCGCUCAUAAAGAAGUCCAUGAUGCUGUGUCUGGAGGACAUGCCAGAAAUAGAGAGGAAGCCGGUAAAGAAGCUAAAGAAGGCGUUGAAAAUGGUAACCAAGGCUCUGGGUGUGCUAGAGAGGACAAAUAGACACAAACUAGCUCAGUGAGUAAAUCAUGUUGACUAAUUACUUGUGAUACAGUUUGGAAUUAUAAUAUGCAGAACAUGAUUGUAUUAUUAUUGUGAGAAAUUAUGUACUUCUGUUUUGUCUCAAUUCCACCAUGUUAGUUUAUUGCAGAGUUCUUUGUACUCUU